rnacentral:lncRNA from 10 species
AAAAUACAAACAUUAGCCAGGCAUAGCGGCAUGCACCUGUAGUCCCAGCUACUUGAGAGGCUGAGGUGGGAGGAUUGCUUGAGCCCAGGAGGUUGAAGCUACAGGGGACCAAGGUCACACCACUGCACUCCAGCGUGGGCAACAGAGCGAGAUCCUGUCUCUUUAAAAAAUACAUGUAUAUAUAUAUGCAUUACCUGAUUACCUGGGAAGGGCAGUAAAACCAAGGAGCCCAUCAACAUAGGACAACUAAUUCAUUUAUCGGAUUAGUCAUCACCUGUGGUGACAUGACAGGAAGGCACCAGAUCUGAUAAAAAGAGACAAGGGCAGGUUUAGAAAGUAGGAAAGGUCCACAGCUUGGGAUGUGUUUCUGAGACCCGGAAAAACAAAGGUGGCAACAGAGCCUCAGUGUGGGUUGAGGGCAGCAGUGGGUGGAAGGACACCAAAGGUAAACUUGACCUGCUUCCAAAUAUUGCCUUUAUCAAGCACUACCUGGAACCCUAUUAUGCUUUCACCUCCUUGACAAUUGAACUCAAGGGUCAUGAGGGUGAGGGACAUGAGGCGGCAACUUUGAUACAUAAGGAAGUCUGGGCUACUACAGGUAUACUAGUAGGGCAUCUGCAGCUUCCAGGAACCACAGAGCUAAACUAGGCAGGAGUGAUGUAAAAGUGCCAUGGUUUGGAACGACUUGCCCAAGGAGAAGCAGGUGGACUCCUUGACAGCUCCUGAUAUGUGUGACUCAGCGCUGGCAGCUUAACAAGGCCCACCCAUCAUCUCUCCCUCCUGGGAGCGGGCUCCUUUGCGCAGGUCCAGUACACCCUUCCAUGUCUGAGACCGCUUGCCUUCCGUUUCAGAGAACCAUAUGCAUAGGCCUAGAAUUCUCUUGAAGGCCACCAGAGGGCGGUGUAUAGCAGGGACCCUGUGCGAUGGGAGCGCACAGCGGCUACUGGCAAGGGCGAGCUCCGGGUGGUACCAACAACCCCCGACUAUUUCCUCCUCCCCGCCUCACCUCCACCCAAGACACUUCCCUUCUGGAGCAGCCCAGCUUCCUCCAGAGCUUCCAUUCCUAACUCAGGGGCACCUGCCUGCCUGGAUUCCAGGCCAUGACUAUGCGACGAUUGCAAAU